rnacentral:rRNA from 1 species
UUAAGCGACUAAGCGUACACGGUGGAUGCCCUGGCAGUCAGAGGCGAUGAAGGACGUGCUAAUCUGCGAUAAGCGUCGGUAAGGUGAUAUGAACCGUUAUAACCGGCGAUUUCCGAAUGGGGAAACCCAGUGUGAUUCGUCACACUAUCAUUAACUGAAUCCAUAGGUUAAUGAGGCGAACCGGGGGAACUGAAACAUCUAAGUACCCCGAGGAAAAGAAAUCAACCGAGAUUCCCCCAGUAGCGGCGAGCGAACGGGGAGCAGCCCAGAGCCUGAAUCAGUGUGUGUGUUAGUGGAAGCGUCUGGAAAGGCGCGCGAUACAGGGUGACAGCCCCGUACACAAAAAUGCACAUACUGUGAGCUCGAUGAGUAGGGCGGGACACGUGGUAUCCUGUCUGAAUAUGGGGGGACCAUCCUCCAAGGCUAAAUACUCCUGACUGACCGAUAGUGAACCAGUACCGUGAGGGAAAGGCGAAAAGAACCCCGGCGAGGGGAGUGAAAAAGAACCUGAAACCGUGUACGUACAAGCAGUGGGAGCACGCUUAGGCGUGUGACUGCGUACCUUUUGUAUAAUGGGUCAGCGACUUAUAUUCUGUAGCAAGGUUAACCGAAUAGGGGAGCCGAAGGGAAACCGAGUCUUAACUGGGCGUUAAGUUGCAGGGUAUAGACCCGAAACCCGGUGAUCUAGCCAUGGGCAGGUUGAAGGUUGGGUAACACUAACUGGAGGACCGAACCGACUAAUGUUGAAAAAUUAGCGGAUGACUUGUGGCUGGGGGUGAAAGGCCAAUCAAACCGGGAGAUAGCUGGUUCUCCCCGAAAGCUAUUUAGGUAGCGCCUCGUGAAUUCAUCUCCGGGGGUAGAGCACUGUUUCGGCAAGGGGGUCAUCCCGACUUACCAACCCGAUGCAAACUGCGAAUACCGGAGAAUGUUAUCACGGGAGACACACGGCGGGUGCUAACGUCCGUCGUGAAGAGGGAAACAACCCAGACCGCCAGCUAAGGUCCCAAAGUCAUGGUUAAGUGGGAAACGAUGUGGGAAGGCCCAGACAGCCAGGAUGUUGGCUUAGAAGCAGCCAUCAUUUAAAGAAAGCGUAAUAGCUCACUGGUCGAGUCGGCCUGCGCGGAAGAUGUAACGGGGCUAAACCAUGCACCGAAGCUGCGGCAGCGACGCUGAUGCGUUGUUGGGUAGGGGAGCGUUCUGUAAGCCUGUGAAGGUGUGCUGUGAGGCAUGCUGGAGGUAUCAGAAGUGCGAAUGCUGACAUAAGUAACGAUAAAGCGGGUGAAAAGCCCGCUCGCCGGAAGACCAAGGGUUCCUGUCCAACGUUAAUCGGGGCAGGGUGAGUCGACCCCUAAGGCGAGGCCGAAAGGCGUAGUCGAUGGGAAACAGGUUAAUAUUCCUGUACUUGGUGUUACUGCGAAGGGGGGACGGAGAAGGCUAUGUUGGCCGGGCGACGGUUGUCCCGGUUUAAGCGUGUAGGCUGGUUUUCCAGGCAAAUCCGGAAAAUCAAGGCUGAGGCGUGAUGACGAGGCACUACGGUGCUGAAGCAACAAAUGCCCUGCUUCCAGGAAAAGCCUCUAAGCAUCAGGUAACAUCAAAUCGUACCCCAAACCGACACAGGUGGUCAGGUAGAGAAUACCAAGGCGCUUGAGAGAACUCGGGUGAAGGAACUAGGCAAAAUGGUGCCGUAACUUCGGGAGAAGGCACGCUGAUAUGUAGGUGAAGUCCCUCGCGGAUGGAGCUGAAAUCAGUCGAAGAUACCAGCUGGCUGCAACUGUUUAUUAAAAACACAGCACUGUGCAAACACGAAAGUGGACGUAUACGGUGUGACGCCUGCCCGGUGCCGGAAGGUUAAUUGAUGGGGUCAGCGCAAGCGAAGCUCUUGAUCGAAGCCCCGGUAAACGGCGGCCGUAACUAUAACGGUCCUAAGGUAGCGAAAUUCCUUGUCGGGUAAGUUCCGACCUGCACGAAUGGCGUAAUGAUGGCCAGGCUGUCUCCACCCGAGACUCAGUGAAAUUGAACUCGCUGUGAAGAUGCAGUGUACCCGCGGCAAGACGGAAAGACCCCGUGAACCUUUACUAUAGCUUGACACUGAACAUUGAGCCUUGAUGUGUAG